rnacentral:misc_RNA from 1 species
AACGCAACUUGCGCUCUCUGGUAUUCCGGAGAGCAUGCCUGUUUGAGUGUCAUAAAAUAUCAACCAUUAGGGUUUCCUUAAUGGCUUGGAUUUGGGUGUCUGCCAGUAAUGGCUCACCUUAAUAGUAUUAGCGAACACAGCAGCGAUGUCUGGCGUAAUAAGUUCCGCUCGAUUAGCUGUCGCGAUGUUGGCUUAUAAUCGCCGCAAGGCAAUUUUUGACUCUGGCCUCAAAUCAGGUAGGACUACCCGCUGAACUUAA